rnacentral:rRNA from 1 species
UGCCAGCCGCCGCGGUAAUACGAAGGGGGCAAGCGUUGUUCGGAAUUAUUGGGCGUAAAGCGUAUGUAGGUGGUUUUUCAAGUCAGACGUGUAGGCCCUCGGCUCAACCGAGGAAUUGCGUUUGAAACUGAUUGACUUGAGUAUAGGAGAGGAAAGCGGAAUUCCCAGUGUAGCGGUGAAAUGCGUUGAUAUUGGGAAGAACACCGGUGGCGAAGGCGGCUUACUGGGUCUCUUCUGACGCUGAGGUACGAAAGCUAGGGGAGCGAACGGGAUUAGAUA